CAACAGCGCGAAAUAUUUAUAAUGCAGAACUGAGUAUAAAGGAAUCCGAGCCCGUAUCGCGGCCUUCAGGUUAAAACCAUCGGAGAACGGUCAGGCAGAUCGUGCAGCGCGCGUAUACCGGCGCUCGAGUGGUGACCACUAUUAUGGCUAAAGCGUCCGUAGCUUGAUUAUUAAAUCUCUGGGAAAUCUCACGGCUUAACUGUGAGGCGUCUAAGAGAUACUGGGAAUCUAGGGACCGGGAGAGGUAAGAGGUACUUCAGGGGUAGAAGUGAAAUUCUGUAAUCCUUGAGGGACCACCGAUGGCGAAGGCAUCUUACCAGAACGGCUUCGACAGUGAGGAACGAAAGCUGGGGGAGCGAACGGGAUUAGAUACCCCGGUAGUCCCAGCCGUAAACUCUGCGCGUUAGGUGUAAAAUGUAACUACGAGUUACCGGGGUGCCGAAGAUAUAGCGUGAAACAUGCCGCCUGGGAAGUACGGUCGCAAGGCUGAAACUUAAAGGAAUUGGCGGGGGAGCACCACAACGGAAGGAGCCUGCGGUUUAAUUGGACUCAACGCCGGGCAGCUCACCGGAUAGGACAGCGGAAUGAUAGCCGGGCUGAAGACCUUGCUUGACCAGCUGAGAGGAGGUGCAUGGCCGUCGUCAGUUCGUACUGUGAAGCCUCCUGUUUAGUCAGGCAACGAGCGAGACGAAAUCUAGUGCAACUCCAGAAUAAGCUCGAAUCAGCACAACUUAC
rnacentral:rRNA from 1 species